rnacentral:rRNA from 1 species
UACGUAGGGUGCGAGCGUUAAUCGGAAUUACUGGGCGUAAAGCGUGCGUAGGUGGUUCCUCAAGUCCGUUGUGAAAGCCCCGGGCUCAACCUGGGAAUGGCAGUGGAAACUAGGGGACUGGAAUCUGGCAGAGGGGGGUGGAAUGCCGCGUGUAGCAGUGAAAUGCGUAGAGAUCGGGAGGAACACCGGUGGCGAAGGCGGGUCGCUGGGCAUGGUCCGACGCUGAGGCGCGAAAGCGUGGGGAGCGAACAGG